GCUAAAAAGAACCAAUGAAAUGCAUUGAAAGAAUUCAGGGACGUGCGCAAUACGCGACAGAUUUGGAAGCACAUGUUCAUUCUCAACUAAGCUCUGGGGGAUGCAAGACGUUAAUUCGUAGUUCGCUAUGAAACCGUUCUUGGAUCAUCAUAGUUUAGGCCUCACUUUAGCAGGCUAAUACAAACAAUUCAAGUACUAGUAUUGCUCAUCCCAGGUCACAGGGAUGUCAGGAUAAAAUGGAUCCCGGGAAAAUUAAUUCUCAGCGUUUUUAUCAACAUUAUGAAUGGCUAGCCGUCCAGAUCUCGCUGACGACACGCUGGUGGAGCUGCAGAGUGCAGUGAAGGGAUGGACGGAUACAACGCUGAAUUACCGAACCCCUACAGGGACUAUCUCAGUUAGGCCGGGAUCACCGUUCUCGUUAGAGGUCUAACGUUAGAUCGACCGCUAUUUGCCACGGUCUAUCGGUGAGACUGCAGAGUUGGAAUAUACAUCAGCUUCCACAGGAAUAAUAAGUACUUUCAGUCAAACGGAAGCUCUGACCAAUGCCGUGAAUGAGGAUAUUUGCCGGAGUUGUUCUCCUAUGAGUACAACUAGGCCGAUUGUCUUUUGAGGCUGUGCCUGUGAUAAAACUGCCGGCGAUGCUUCGAGUUCGAUGGAGCUGGAUCUAAUUGAUUGUUGAUGCGAAUGGAGUGGAGUUAGGGCCCGGACCACAGUGUAUAUAUCUUGACCCGGGACGUGGAGUCUGAAGUUAAUUGGCCAGGGCACAAAUGAUCAAGCCUAGACCCAGACUGAGGUACGAGGAGACUUAGCUAAGCUUGACCUGGACUAGUGUACGAAGGGACAGGGCUUAGACUUGGCUUACUAUGGUUCACAUUGGAUGACAGUGGUUGCAAAGGUUUUCACACUGCAAGAUGAGAAAUCCGGAUUCAUUUGAAGAUGCCGGAUUUAUGGUUUAACGUAAUGCUCUAAAUAGACGAGAGGUUGAGAAAUGCAGUGAUCAAGAUCCUUAAGUCCAGACUUGAAGAGGAAACAUGAAUAAUCUCGAAGUUGUUGAGAAGUAUAACCCUUUCGGAGAAAACUAAAAAACCUUGGAAAAAAGGGGCAUUAUGGGAACACCUUCAGUUCGUAUCUAUUUGCAAUUCUGGGCAGCCAGCAAAGUCGGUUGAAGCAUCGAUAACCAAGAAUAUAAACAAAAAAUGUGAGGCAUGUCCCUCUGGUGCAUUUAUGUGCUUAUAUAUGUCUCUUCCUUUAAGACAUAACCUCACCUGUUGUAAGAGGCGAUCUCAUAUAUGAAGCCAACUUGAAUGUGGGAAUGCACGCCUUGAUUUUUAUGCCCCCAUUUAACUUCAUUAAUCGAUGUGGAAUGGAUCUUAUUUGUUUCGAUUCACACUGGUGACCAAAAACGAAAAAAAAAAAAAAAAAAAAAUCC